rnacentral:tRNA from 1 species
GCGGGCGUAGCUCAGUGGUAGAGCAUCUGCUUCCCAAGCAGAGGGUCGCGGGUUCGACCCCCGUCGCCCGCUCCA